rnacentral:rRNA from 1 species
GACGAACGCUGGCGGCGUGCUUAACACAUGCAAGUCGAACGGAAAGGCCCUGCUUGCAGGGUACUCGAGUGGCGAACGGGUGAGUAACACGUGGGUGAUCUGCCCUGCACUUCGGGAUAAGCCUGGGAAACUGGGUCUAAUACCGGAUAGGAGCCAUUUUUAGUGUGAUGGUUGGAAAGUUUUUUCGGUGUAGGAUGAGCUCGCGGCCUAUCAGCUUGUUGGUGGGGUAAUGGCCUACCAAGGCGGCGACGGGUAGCCGGCCUGAGAGGGUGGACGGCCACAUUGGGACUGAGAUACGGCCCAGACUCCUACGGGAGGCAGCAGUGGGGAAUAUUGCACAAUGGGCGCAAGCCUGAUGCAGCGACGCCGCGUGGGGGAUGACGGCCUUCGGGUUGUAAACUCCUUUCGCUAGGGACGAAGCUUUUUGUGACGGUACCUAGAUAAGAAGCACCGGCUAACUACGUGC